AUAGGGGAGGAAGGAGGCCCAUUUAAAAAAAAUGAAGUAUAACUGAGGUGCGAUUAUUACUAGUUGAAAACGUUUACCAAUACCCCGCCAGAGGGACGUGAAAUACCGUCUCUGUGGCAAUUUUUGGCAACCUCUGAGGAGG